rnacentral:rRNA from 1 species
GACGAACGCUGGCGGCGUGCUUAACACAUGCAAGUCGAACGGAAAGGCCCUGCUUUUGUGGGGUGCUCGAGUGGCGAACGGGUGAGUAACACGUGAGUAACCUGCCCUUGACUUUGGGAUAACUUCAGGAAACUGGGGCUAAUACCGGAUAGGAGCUCCUGCUGCAUGGUGGGGGUUGGAAAGUUUCGGCGGUUGGGGGUGGACUCGCGGCUUAUCAGCUUGUUGGUGGGGUAGUGGCUUACCAAGGCUUUGACGGGUAGCCGGCCUGAGAGGGUGACCGGCCACAUUGGGACUGAGAUACGGCCCAGACUCCUACGGGAGGCAGCAGUGGGGAAUAUUGCACAAUGGGCGGAAGCCUGAUGCAGCAACGCCGCGUGCGGGAUGACGGCCUUCGGGUUGUAAACCGCUUUCACCUGUGACGAAGCGUGAGUGACGGUAAUGGGUAAAGAAGCACCGGCUAACUACGUGCCAGCAGCCGCGGUGAUACGUAGGGUGCGAGCGUUGUCCGGAUUUAUUGGGCGUAAAGGGCUCGUAGGUGGUUGAUCGCGUCGGAAGUGUAAUCUUGGGGCUUAACCCUGAGCGUGCUUUCGAUACGGGUUGACUUGAGGAAGGUAGGGGAGAAUGGAAUUCCUGGUGGAGCGGUGGAAUGCGCAGAUAUCAGGAGGAACACCAGUGGCGAAGGCGGUUCUCUGGGCCUUUCCUGACGCUGAGGAGCGAAAGCGUGGGGAGCGAACAGGCUUAGAUACCCUGGUAGUCCACGCUGUAAACGGUGGGUACUAGGUGUGGGGUCCAUUCCACGGGUUCCGUGCCGUAGCUAACGCUUUAAGUACCCCGCCUGGGGAGUACGGCCGCAAGGCUAAAACUCAAAGGAAUUGACGGGGCCCCGCACAAGCGGCGGAGCAUGCGGAUUAAUUCGAUGCAACGCGUAGAACCUUACCUGGGUUUGACAUGGAUCGGGAGCGCUCAGAGAUGGGUGUGCCUCUUUUGGGGUCGGUUCACAGGUGGUGCAUGGCUGUCGUCAGCUCGUGUCGUGAGAUGUUGGGUUAAGUCCCGCAACGAGCGCAACCCUUGUUCACUGUUGCCGGCACGUUAUGGUGGGGACUCAGUGGAGACCGCCGGGGUCAACUCGGAGGAAGGUGGGGAUGACGUCAAGUCAUCAUGCCCCUUAUGUCCAGGGCUUCACGCAUGCUACAAUGGCUGGUACAGAGAGUGGCGAGCCUGUGAGGGUGAGCGAAUCUCGGAAAGCCGGUCUCAGUUCGGAUUGGGGUCUGCAACUCGACCUCAUGAAGUCGGAGUCGCUAGUAAUCGCAGAUCAGCAACGCUGCGGUGAAUACGUUCCCGGGGCU